rnacentral:rRNA from 1 species
UACAGAGGUCUCAAGCGUUGUUCGGAUUCAUUGGGCGUAAAGGGUGCGUAGGUGGCGCUGUAAGUCGGGUGUGAAAUUUCGGAGCUUAACUCCGAAACUGCAUUCGAUACUGCGGUGCUUGAGGACUGGAGAGGAGACUGGAAUUCAUGGUGUAGCAGUGAAAUUCGUAGAUAUUGGGAAGAACACCGGUGGCGAAGGCGGCGACCUGGUCCUUUUACUGACGCUGAGGCGCGAAAGCGUGGGGAGCAAACAGG